UACGGGGGGGGCAAGCGUUGUUCGGAAUUACUGGGCGUAAAGGGCUCGUAGGCGGCCAACUAAGUCGGACGUGAAAUCCCUCGGCUUAACCGGUGAACUGCAUCCGAUACUGGAAGGCUCGAGUUUGGGAGAGGGAUGCGGAAUUCCAGGUGUAGCGGUGAAAUGCGUAGAUAUCUGGAGGAACACCGGUGGCGAAGGCGGCAUCCUGGACCAACACUGACGCUGAGGAGCGAAAGCCAGGGGAGCAAACGGG
rnacentral:rRNA from 1 species